UGUUGUUGUUGAUGUUGUUGUUGUUGUUGUUGUUGUUGUUGUUGUUUUUGUGUUGUUGUUGUUGUUGUUGUUGUUGUCGUUGUAGUUGUUGUUGUUGUCGUUGUUGUUGUUGUUGUUGUUGUUGUUGUUGUUGUUAUUGUUUCUGUUGUUGUCGUCGUCAUUGUUGUUGUUGUUGUUGUUGUUGUUGUUGUAAUCAUCGCUGUCGUCAUCGUCAUAGUGUUUGUUUUUGUUGUUGUCAUUGCUAUCGCUCUUGUCACUAUUGUCGUCAUCGUUGUUGUUGUUGGUGUUGUUGUUGUUGUUCUCGUCAUUGUCUUUGUUG
rnacentral:lncRNA from 1 species